CGGCAGUGUUCCAGUCUUGCCAGUAGAGGGUGCUGCAGAGCCUAGUCAGGCAUCAUCCCCGCUUCCAGCUGACCCGCAUUCACCAGCGCUGUACAGACACGGGACAGGACCCGAGCGCGGCGAACUAGUCAACAACACCGUGGAGUUUCCUCCCCCACGUACACCGUGACCGUGAAAUUCUGGCAGUCCCGGGGUGGCAGGUCGCUGCUGUCGCCUGUUUUCGCUCUUGACAGCGCGUUGAAAGAGGAAGCAGUCUCCCCCAGGAGCUUCAGGCGAACCGGCUGAAGCUGACCGGAAUUACACUGUAGCGUUCAUUUGUUUCUCUUUUCUUUAAUUUGCCGCUCCCGGUGACAUGUUUUAUGUCGACUCUGCUGGAGGUGCUUUUCUAUCCGGAGUGGACUACAGCGCUACAAAGUGACCCGGAGAAAGAGACAGAGGCGCCUCGCAGUCAGUCACGGUGGUGCAAGGUGGACAUCCUGAGACAACCAAUCAGUUCUUGUCAAAAGGCAGAGGCGUUUAUCAAGUCUUUAUCCUCAGACGAAUGCAGCUGCAAACACUAAAAACUGACAGUAGCACCUUUUUUACCUCCAACGAUCGUCCCACAAUCUUCCCAGAGAAAACUCUUGUUCUCUCUAUCUCACAGGACUCUAGAAGUUUUCUCUGUUUUACUCAGGUCUUUUCUCCCAAUGCCUACCUCCUCCACUAAAGCACUGUACCCAGAGACAACCUGCUUUACCUUCUAAACUCUUCAAGCUGAUGAAGAGCAUUGACUUAAGACCUCAAACGUCCUGUCGUCUAUAUAAGCUACAAAGCAGCCACACUCAUCAACCUGGGCCAGUGGAAAUUAUUCAAACUGGAAGACGGACAAUAGCUACUUCAGCCUCUCAUCGUCCGCUUGUUGAAUCUGGCUGAAAGCUAUAUACCUCAGUUAUUAUUUUCUGGAAGACAUUUGUGUGCAGAAAACUCAAGGCGACAAUCAUUGACGGAAUUGAUCCAACAGACAGGAGUUAAUAUCCAAGCAAGGUGCAAGCUGCAAAGUAGAGAAGCAGCACUGGUGUCUUCCAUUUGCCUUGGGGAGAAAAAAAUAUGACCAGGGAGAAAAGUGGAGUACUGCCUUGGAGAAAACAUAACUUCAUGUUUCCCAGCAUAUAAGCCGGACUAUCUAAGCUAUCUAAAUACACCGGCAAAAAACACAGGGGGCUUUCAGUGAGCUUAUUUUUACACCUAAUGCCCCCAAGCAGCAGCAGAAGGUCUUGAACAUUUCGCCAGCUGUUUCUGUGCUGCAAUUGAGACACAAAGAAUCUUUCUGGGAGUUCAAAUGCAAAUAAUCCUCACAGGUGGCAGAAGAGGCACAGAAGAACUGAGCAAGUGAAGAAGGAUGUAAUGCUCUCCGUCCAACUUGCCGUGCUCCCGUCCCGCGGUUCCCGUUCACGGAUUCCUCUGGUUGGCUGUUGAGAAGGCUGCCGGCGAAUGCUGAGCAGGUCGACCUGUCUGAGGUACGCCUCCCGGCUCUGCGAUUGGUCGCUGGAUGCUACUGAAGUUGAACGGCAACGAUGUUCGACAAGCAGGAGAGCAAUUCAUCAGAGAGCGAUGAGAAAGGGUAAGGCAGGUUGUUUGAG